rnacentral:lncRNA from 1 species
CUAAUAUUUCACUAGAGGACGAGCAAAAGCUAACUUGGGAGAUGUGAUGAACAUUUGAAUUAAGUUACUAAAGAUAUUUAAUUCUAUUUUAUAAUUUUUUAUUUAUUAAGAAUUUGAUACUCUCAAGUCUAUUUUGAAGGUACUUAAGAGAUUGGGCUCAUACAAGCAAAAAGGACUCAAAUUGACUCAAAUUCGAGUGAACCAGG